GUCUACAGCCAUACCACCCUGAAUGUGCCCAAUCUCAUCUGAUCUUGGAAGUUAAGCAGGGUUGGGCCUGGUUAGUACUUGGAUGGAAGACAGAUCUUCAAAAGAGACUGCUCAGAGAGAAGCAGUUUGGAGGCA
rnacentral:rRNA from 1 species